rnacentral:rRNA from 1 species
GACGAACGCUGGCGGCGUGCUUAACACAUGCAAGUCGAACGGAAAGGCCCUUCGGGGUACUCGAGUGGCGAACGGGUGAGUAACACGUGGGUGAUCUGCCCUGCACUUUGGGAUAAGCCUGGGAAACUGGGUCUAAUACCGAAUAGGACCACGCGCUUCAUGGUGUGUGGUGGAAAGCUUUUGCGGUGUGGGAUGGGCCCGCGGCCUAUCAGCUUGUUGGUGGGGUAAUGGCCUACCAAGGCGACGACGGGUAGCCGGCCUGAGAGGGUGACCGGCCACAGUGGGAGGGGGGAAGGGCCCAGACCCCACCGGGGGGAAGGGGGGGGGAAUUUUGCACAAGGGGCGAAAGCCGGAGGGAGGGCCCCCGGGGGGGGGAUGACGGCCUUGGGGUUGUAAACCUUUUUCAAUGGGGACGAAGCGCAAGGGAGGGAACCUAUAAAAAAAGCACCGGCCAACUACGG